GGGGACCAGAGAGGUUAAGUUACUUGCCCAGGAUCACACAGCAGAGUCACUCCAGUUCCCAUGGCCUUGCUUGAACAUAUAUUUAUAAGUGGUUCUGAAGAGCUGAGUGAUACUUAUGCAAUUCUGCCCUUCCUGGCCAAUGACAGUGUUUUCCUCAUUUCAGGGGAUCCCAACAAGCCCUCAGGAUUCAGAAGUGUUAAAGCUCCUGUCACUAAAGUGGCUGCGUCGAUUGGAAAUGCUCAGAAGUUGCCUAUGUGUGACAAAUGUGGCACUGGGAUUGUCGGUGUGUUCGUGAAGCUGCGGGACCGUCACCGCCACCCUGAGUGUUAUGUGUGCACUGACUGUGGCACCAACCUGAAACAGAAGGGCCAUUUCUUUGUGGAGGAUCAAAUCUACUGUGAGAAGCAUGCCCGGGAGCGAGUCACACCACCUGAGGGCUAUGAAGUGGUCACU
rnacentral:sRNA from 1 species